rnacentral:rRNA from 1 species
AUUGAACGCUGGCGGCAGGCCUAACACAUGCAAGUCGAGCGGAUGAGGGGAGCUUGCUCCUGGAUUCAGCGGCGGACGGGUGAGUAAUGCCUAGGAAUCUGCCUGGUAGUGGGGGAUAACGUCCGGAAACGGGCGCUAAUACCGCAUACGUCCUGAGGGAGAAAGUGGGGGAUCUUCGGACCUCACGCUAUCAGAUGAACCUAGGUCGGAUUAGCUAGUUGGUGGGGUAAAGGCCUACCAAGGCGACGAUCCGUAACUGGUCUGAGAGGAUGAUCAGUCACACUGGAACUGAGACACGGUCCAGACUCCUACGGGAGGCAGCAGUGGGGAAUAUUGGACAAUGGGCGAAAGCCUGAUCCAGCCAUGCCGCGUGUGUGAAGAAGGUCUUCGGAUUGUAAAGCACUUUAAGUUGGGAGGAAGGGCAGUAAGUUAAUACCUUGCUGUUUUGACGUUACCAACAGAAUAAGCACCGGCUAACUUCGUG